CACGCCCUAAACGAUGUCGACUGGGUGGUUGGGAGAGAGAUCUCUUGGUACCGUAGCUAACGCGUGAAGUCGACCGCCUGGGGAGUACGGCCGCAAGGUUAAAACUCAAAGGAAUUGACGGGGACCCGCACAAGCGGUGGAUGAUGUGGAUUAAUUCGAUGCAACGCGAACAACCUUACCUACCCUUGACAUGUCCGGAACCCUGCUGAGAGGUGGGGGUGCCCGAAAGGGAAUCGGAACACAGGUGCUGCAUGGCUGUCGUCAGCUCGUGUCGUGAGAUGUUGGGUUAAGUCCCGCAACGAGCGCAACCCUUGUCCCUAGUUGCUACGCAAGGGCACUCUAGGGAGACUGCCGGUGACAAACCG
rnacentral:rRNA from 1 species